AAACGACUCUCGGCAACGGAUAUCCCGGCUCUCGCAUCGAUGAAGAACGUAGCGAAUGCGAUACUUGGUGUGAAUUGCAGAAUCCCGUGAACCAUCGAGUCUUUGAACGCAAGUUGCGCCCGAAGCCAUUAGGCCUAGGGCACGUCUGCCUGGGUGUCACGC
rnacentral:rRNA from 1 species